rnacentral:rRNA from 1 species
GAUGAACGCUGGCGGCGUGCCUAAUACAUGCAAGUCGAGCGAACAGACGAGGAGCUUGCUCCUCUGACGUUAGCGGCGGACGGGUGAGUAACACGUGGAUAACCUACCUAUAAGACUGGGAUAACUUCGGGAAACCGGAGCUAAUACCGGAUAAUAUAUUGAACCGCAUGGUUCAAUAGUGAAAGACGGUUUUGCUGUCACUUAUAGAUGGAUCCGCGCCGCAUUAGCUAGUUGGUAAGGUAACGGCUUACCAAGGCAACGAUGCGUAGCCGACCUGAGAGGGUGAGCGGCCACACUGGAGCUGAGACACGGUCCAGACUACUACGGGAGGCAGCAGUAGGGAAUCUUCCACAAUGGGCGAAAGCCUGACGGAGCAAUGCCGCGUGAGUGAUGAAGUGCUUCGGAUCGUAAAACUCUGUUAUUAGGGAAGAACAAAAGUGUAAGUACCUAUGCACGUCUUGACGGUACCUAAUCAGAAAGCCACGGCUAACUACGUG